AUGGCUUCAAAACAUGUGCGUAACAGCCUCGAUGAUUUAAUUGUCAGCGGAAUAAACAAUGCUCCCGCGAUUGGCUCGAUUGAAUGGAUAGGUGUGGGAAUGGGAUCCACCUUAUGUUUCCAGAAAAACGGAAAGACAUUGGGACUGGAUCGAAUGUGGACUAAAUGUAUUUUAUCAGUUGGAAUGGUUUUGCUUUUAAUGCAGUCUGUCCUUGCUGCUGAUGAUGAAGGGCACUAUAACGGGUCAUCAGGACAUGCAGCUCUGCCUCAGGACCCAGCUGUGCCCUCUAACCUCUCUGCCAGGGAUACGCCAGUGGAGGAUUGGCCCCUGGGCCCUCUAGCCGUGCCCACAGACCCAUCAGGGGCGACAGCAGAGAACACCAGAGAGCAGCCAGGGUUCUCCUCUGUACUGACCCUGCUGGCUAGCUCAGACCAAGAGCCACAGGCCCCAGUGCAACCAUCAGUACUAGCUAAUGCCUCCUCAGCCUCCUCCUCAGCCAUCAACAAUGACAAUCAAACAGCAGGAACAACAGACCCUUUUUCGUUAGCCCCUGUAGCCAACAGCACCUCAAACACCAGCUCAGAGGAGGCGGUCAGCAGUUUGCCUGCGAACCCAGAUUUACCAACAGUCCCAGUGUCCUCUCUGGCCACCCUGGGGGAGAGCGACUCCACCCUCCCAGACAAUGUGACUAGUCCUUUCUCCACUCACACAUGGAACACCACCAUACCUGCAAGGGCUGACACCAACACCACUAUCCCAUCCACCACAGCAGCACACACAAACCCAACACCAGACACUGUGGCCAAUGACAGUCUACAGCUCACUGUGACGACCACCACGACAGUCACGCCCCUGACCGUGACCACCACAUCUGUGACACCCCAGACCACGACAGCUUUGACCAGAGAGGCGGUUACGACCAUACCCGGGACCACUACAACCACACAGGAAGUGACCACCUUCCAAGAAACUACAUUGAUGACAACCACAACUGACCCACCCACCACGACGACCACAACCACAAGUGCUCCCACUACCACAAACGCUCCCACUACAAGUACAACUACCACUGCACCGACCACCACUUUGACUGUCCCCACCACCACCACAGAAACCACCCCUGGACCAACCACAACUGAACCUCCUCCCAUCAGUGCUGAAGAGGAACGUCAACCAUGUAACAUCACUGAGAAGACCUGGGUCAAAACCGUGUUAUCUAUGCAGUUGAGGAGGAACAGGCUUGAUAUCAUCGUGAGGCAGAAUCUGUCUAAAGGACUCACCCAUGCUCUACAGAGGGUCUUCAAUGACACCAAUGUUUAUGUCCAGGUCUGUAUUGUACUGUACUCUGUGUUAGGAUGCUGUUACUGCUGUACUGUAACUGGAGAACAACAUAUACACUACCGUUCAAAAGUUUGGGCUCACUUAAAAAUGUCCUUGUUUUUGAAAGAAAAUCAAUUUUUUUUGUCCAUUAAAAUAACAUCAAAUUUAUCAGAAAUACAGUGUAGACAUUAUUAUUGUUGUAAAUUACUAUUGUACCUGGAAACGGCUGAUUUUGUUUUAUGGAAUAUCUACAUAGGCGUACAGAAGACCAUUAUCAGCAACAAUCAGUCCUGUGUUCCAAUGGCACGUUGUGUUAGCUAAUCCAAGUUUAUCAUUUUAAAAGACUAAUUGAUCAUUAGAAAACCCUUUUGCAAUUAUGUUAGCACAGCUGAAAACUGUUGUUCUGAUUAAAGAUGCAAGAAAACUGGCCUUCUUUAGACUAGUUGAGUAUCUGGAGCAUCGUCGUUUCUGGGUUCGAUUACAGACUCAAAAUGGCCAGAAACAGAACUUUCUUCUGAAACUCGUCAGUCUAGCCUUGUUCUGAGAAAUUAAGGCUAUUCCAAUGCGAGAAAUUGCCAAGAAACUGAAGAUAUUGUACAACGCUGUGUACUACUCCCUUCACAGAACAGCGCAAACUGGCUCUAACCAGAAUAGAAAGAGGAGUGAGAGGCCCCGGUGCAAAACUGAGCAAGAGGACAAGUACAUUAGAGUGUCUAGUUUGAGAUAUAGAUGCCUCACAAGUCCUCAACUGGCAGCUUCAUCAAAUAGUACCCGCAAAACACCAGUCUGAACGUCAACAGUAAAGAGGCGACUCCGGGAUUCUGGCCUUCUAGGCAGAGUUCCUCUGUCCAGUGUCUGUGUUCUUUUUCCCAUCUUAAUCUUUUCUUUUUAUUGGCCAUUCUGAGAUAUGGCUUUUUCUUUCUUUGCAACUCUGCCUAGAAGGCCAGCAUCCCGGAGUCACCUCUUCAUUGUUGACGUUGAGACUAGUGUUUUGCGGGUACUAUUUGAUGAAGCUGCAAGUUGAGGACUUGUGAGGAGUCAUCCAUCUUUGCACUGUUGGAAAAGCAUUUGGUAUUAUUAUUAUUAUUAUUAAUUUUUUUUUGCAUAUCCCACUCCCCCUGAGAGGUCACGGCCAGGGAUCAGCCAUUAUUGAAGGCGACCCUGGAGCAAUUAGGGUGAGGUGCCUUGCUCAAGGGCACAUCAACAGAAUUUUUUUCACCUAGUUGGCUCGGGGAUUCGAAACCAGCGACCUUUUGGUUACUGGCCCAACGCUCUUAACUGCUAGGUUACCUAGCUGUUACGAAUUUUGAGAUGGCCACUUCUAAAGGAACUAUAGUGAGUGUGUUGACUUAUUCUUCCUCUCCUCUUAGCCCUAUUAUUCAUAUAGUCCAAUCUCUCACAGAGGAGACUGAAGUGAUUAAUGGUAAAAGGAUUUCAAUAAGAUAAUAAAUGGUCUCUUGAAUUGUGGAUAGGCUUUGCAUUAUAGAGGCUGUUAAGAGUAUGUGAAGAGAAAGACUCUUAUGGACCCUACCAGCUGAAUGACUAAAACUCAUGUCCAUUAUUCAGCUCUCGUUCUCUCUGUCUGUUUCUCUCUGUCUGUUUCUCUCUGUCUGUUUCUCUCUGUCUGUUUCUCUCUGUCUGUUUCUCUCUGUCUGUUUCUCUCUGUCUGUUUCUCUCUGUCUGUUUCUCUCUGUCUGUUUCUCUCUGUCUGUUUCUCUCUGUCUGUUUCUCUCUGUCUGUUUCUCUCUGUCUGUUUCUCUCUGUCUGUUUCUCUCUGUCUGUUUCUCUCUGUCUGUUUCUCUCUGUCUGUUUCUCGCUGUCUGUUUCUCGCUGUCUGUUUCUCUCUCUCUGUUUCUCGCUGUCUGUUUCUCUCUGUCUGUUUCUCGCUGUCUGUUUCUCUCUGUCUGUUUCUCUCUGUGUGUUAUCUGUUUUUCUAUGUUUCUCUCUGUGUUUUAUUCUCUGUUUCUCCCUGUGUUUUAUUCUCUGUUUCUCUCUGUGUUUUAUUCUCUGUUUCUCUCUGUGUUUUAUUCUAUGUUUCUCUCUGUGUUUUAUUCUCUGUUUCUCUCUGUGUUUUAUUCUAUGUUUCUCUCUGUGUUUCUCCCUGUGUUUUAUUCUCUGUUUCUCUCUGUGUGUUUCUCUCUGUUUCUCUCUGACUCUCAGUCCUCUGUCUCAUCUCUCCCUGACUUGGUCUCUCUCUCUCUCUCUCUCCCUCCCUCUCUCUCUCUCUCUGUCUAACUGAUGGCUGACUCAAGUUUAAGUCCAUUGAUUUCCUGCCUGUGCUGUCUGUCUAUCUGUCAGUCUGUCUGGGGUGUGAUUCAGUGGCUGCUACUCUAUCCAAGGCCUCCUCUCCUCUCCCCAUCAGAACCCAUGUAUUAUUAGU
rnacentral:lncRNA from 8 species